CAGUCUUAAAUCCGUCUGACCGUGUAGCUCAGUUGGUAGAGCGUCGAUCUAGUAAUUCGAAGGUCGCGGGUUCAAGACCCAGCCGCGGCAGACAACAUCUUUCUGCUUGCGCUGGGUGUGGAAAUUAUAUAAUACACACUCUAGAACAUUUUCAUCUUAACAUAUUACAGAGUGUACAAUUACACAAUUAACAUAACACUUGCAGAACUAGUAUUGUUCGAUGCUGAAUUAAUAUAAACGAGUAUGUUUAUGACAUUCAGUAUAUAUUUCAUAAUUUCCAGUCUUAAAUCCGUCUGACCGUGUAGAUCAAGUUAGAUCAGUUGGUAGAGCGUCGAUCUAGUAAUUCGAGGUCGCGGGUUCAAGACCCAACCGCGGCAGACAACAUCUUUCUGCUUGCGCUGGGUAUGGAAAUUAUAUAGUACACACUCUAGAACAUGACAAAUGCCAGUACUCUGCUCAGCCGACAAGACUUCAUAUGUGACAAACAGAACAG